CAAGAGCAAAAAGAGUGUGAAAAAUUUUUCGUGAAAACAACUCAAGUAUUGUCUUCAGGGCGGCUUUAAGUCAGAAUGCCAUUUAAAGCUGACCGUAAGUUACUCGGUCACUCUUAUGAAACCGCAGUUCGGCGGUUUCAGGCCCUGGAGAGAAGAACCUUGAAAGAUCCAGAACUUCGUAAAAUGUAUCUGGCCUUUAUGAAUGAAUACAGAGCGCUGGGUCACAUGAGCCCAACAAACAAUAAGAUCCCGAGGGAGCCACACUAUUUCAUUCAAUGCGUUUUAAGACCCGAAAGCACAACAACCAAAUUACGUUUUGUUUUUGACGCAUCGAGUCGUACUUCAUCUCAAAUUUCAUUGAAUGAACUUUUGACGGUAGGCCCAACCAUCCAAGAAGAAUUGUACUCAACUCUUCUUCGUUUUCGUCUACACAAGUACGCUUUAACGGCAGACAUUACUAAAAUGUACCGCCAAAUAAUAAUGCACGAAGAAGACAGAAAUUGUCAGCUUAUUGUGUGGAGAGAGCAUCCUUCUGAGCACAUUCAAAUUUUUCGUCUUAACACCGUAACAUACGGCACUGCGCCUGCUCCAUUUCUCGCAACACGGUGUUUGCAAAUGCUCAGUGAUGCCAAUACAACUUAAUACCCACUCGGUUCAUUGGCCAUUAAAAGAGACUUUUAUGUCGAUGUCUUAUUGACAGGAUCUGAAAAUUUUGAGUCUCUAGAUCUUAUAAGAAGUGAAGUAGUUAAAAUAUUAAACUCGGCAGGAUUCACUUUAACAAAGUGGUUUUCGAACCACCCUAAAUUUUUUGACAGUGAUUGCACUGAAAAGUCAUUAAGUUUCAAUGACAAAAAUUCAACUAAAACACUAGGAAUCCACUGGUUGCCGAAAGAAGAUUUGUUUCGAUUUGUUUUGGAUGUCAACUUUAAUGAUCUGCGAGCCACUAAACAGAACAUAUUGUAAGUCUCCGCUCACCUUUUCGAUCCUCUUGGAUUAUUAGCCCCACUAGUUACCAAAGCAAAAAUCUUAUUGCAAGAGCUUUGGAUUCAAAAACUAGAUUGGGAUGAGUCGAUUCCAUUGCGCCUCAACACUAGCUGGCAGAAUUUCGAAGCCAACCCACUGCAGCUCUCGCCAAUUAGCAUUCCUCGGUAUGUAAACCUAGAGUCGACUGCUACAUGCCAAAUCCAUGGCUUCUCCGACGCUUCAAUAAGAGCGUACGGAUGCUGCAUAUACAUACGAAGCCAAUCUGCUAGUGGUGUCAAAUGUAUGCUGCUUACUGCAAAGUCUAGAAAGGCUCAGCUGAAGACCAAGUCUCUUCCGCGUCUCGAGCUCUCGGCAGCACAUCUUCUUGCCCAAUUAUGGUCACGAGUUGCACCAAUGUUGAGUCGACGAUUCGAGAAAAUUACAUUUUGAACAGAGUCUGAAAUUGUAUUGCACUGGGUAAAAACGCAUCCAUCUUCAUUAGAAACCUUUGUCGUAAAUAGAGUGUCCGAAAUCCAAGAGUUGACUGACAAUGUACAUUGGCGACAUCUGCCAACAAAAACAAAAUCCUGGGGAUCAAGUGUCUCGGGGUUGUAACGUGGACGAAUUGAAUAAUUCUAUGUGGUUUGGCGGUCCACAGUUCCUCCUAGAAGACCCUGCUUUAUGGACAAUUAACGCUCACUUCCAACUCUCCCCAGAAAACGAAGCCUUAGAGAAGAAGAAAAACGCUGUCACAUUUUCUGCAAAUGUAAAGGAUAACACUAUAAUGGAACAGAUUGAAAAACUCUCUUCUCAUCAAAAGUUGCUUCGUGUGGUCGCAUAUUUAUUACGAUGGAUCAGACGACCAAAAAUGCCUACUGUGGGAAGAGCUCUGACUGCAGACGAAUUAAACUUGAGUUUUUUAAAAAUUGUCCAGGUGACUCAACAUUCUGAGUUUGCGAGCGAAAUUCAAAAACUGACUAAAGGCACGACGCUACCCGCCAACUUGCAAAAACUCAACCCGUUCUUGCAUGAGUACUCGGAUACGUCGCUUUCUUUAAAUUAAUCCGAGUAGGAGGUCGCCUAUUAAAUGCACCUCUCCCAUACGAUACCAAAUUCCCAUUAUUACUGAAUAAAAAUUCACAUUUCGUUAUCACUUAUUUACGGUUCCUGCACUUUCGAAAUCACCACGCUGGGGCAAAAGCGUUGGUUGCGUUUCUUUGAGAACGCAUAUGGCUAAUUAAUGCCAGAGAAGCUUGCAGUAGAACCGUAAGAAAUUGUACACACUUGUUUCAUUACAAGCCGAAGUUGCAAACCUAAAUAAUGGGAAAUUUGCCAGUUGAAAGACUUCGAGCUUUACGACGCUUUCUGAUAUGUGGCGUAGAUUUUUGUGGUCCCAUAUAUACAACGUUAAAAAUACGUGGUCAACCACCCGUAAAGACUUAUAUAGCAGUUUUCGUUUGCUUCGCUUCAAAAGCAGUACAUUUAGAACUAGUCUCGGACCUGUCUACUAGUUCUUUUAUUUUCGCCCUCAAAAGGUUCAUUGGUCGCCGAGGGAUGCCACAGAAAGUACUCAGCGACAACGCAACAACUUUGUCGGCGCCGACCGCAAGCUGCGCGAUCUGAAGAAGGCGUUUCUAGCGCAAGCCCCAGAACUAAUGGGGUUCGCAGCCGAAGAAGGAUUCAGCUUCGGCUUUAUACCACCCAGGGCACCGCACUUCGGCGGAUUAUGGGAGGCGGCCGUGAAGUCUGCCAAGCAUCUGAUCGUUCGCGCAUGCGGCAACGCUCUACUAACGACGGAAGAGCUCUCACCGCUACUGGCCGAAGUGGAGGCCAUUUUGAACUCGCGUCCCCUAACACCGUUGAGCCAGGACCCCAACGACGGAGAAGCACUAACUCCAGCGCAGCUUUUAAUCGGUUGUCCUCUGCGAGCACUGCUACCAGCACAAGUGCCAACGGACCCAAUUCGUUGCUGCGAGAGAUGGCAACUUGUUUGCUGUCUCAAGCAACAGUUUUGGCAACAGUGGUCCAAAAUAUAUCUAACGAGCCUUCAGGAGCGCAACAAAUGGCUCCACCCCAAACGCAACCUGCAGCCAGGCGAUCUCGUCCUCGUUCACGAAGACAACGUGCCGCCGCAGCAGUGGGUAAUCGGCCGCGUCGGCGCAACCGUCGAAGGCCAAGACGGCAAGGUACGAGUGGCAGACGUGGCAACCAAGGCGGGCACCAUUAAGCGCCCAAUUCAUAAACUUGCACUACUGCCCAUGGAUGUUGAAGGAUCCUGAUCCUGUCAAGGUGGCCGGUGUUGCGUCAAGCGACUUAUACGAAUAUAUGUUCAAUUUAAAAUGAAAAUAAAAUAUGAAAUUAGAAUUAAUUACUUUUUUUGAAAUGCAUUUUAUAUUCCAAUUAUACUUUCAUUGUACUUACCCUAAUAAUAUUAAAUAUACUUACCUUAUUCUAUUUCUUUAAGUUAACGAAAUGAAUUAUACUUACCUCCUUUUUGUACAUACAUACAUACUAACACUCCAACUGUUUUUUCCCGUUAGCUUUAAGAUUUAGGCUAAGUCAUCUAGUUGCUGAAAUAAAGAGAUGAAUUGUAAUUAGACCGCAAUCGAAUCCGCACGCGUUUUCCUUUCUCGCUAAUUUCGCCGUCGCUGUUUUCGGAAAAAUAUAAUAUUCGAGAUACAGGCAAUUGGUUGAUUGUGAAGUGAAAUAUUUAAAAUACAUAAUUAUACAAACACGCAUCCCAAAAUUACAAAAAAAAAAUAAAAAUUUUAUUCUCAAAAACUCUUGAGAAAUUUCAUUCGUUAAAAUGAACGCUUCUGCAACAUUCAUAUAUACAAGUAUAUCAGUUAAUUAAUAACAAAAUUUAUAAUUUAACUUUUUUUAUAGUAAACCAAUCCGCGAUCGAGAUACUCACGAGUAGCUGAGGCUUAUGUUUCAUUUUGCCAAGCACACCCAGAAAUGGGUACUAGGAAAAAUUGCCCAAAAACGCCUCAACAAAUGAGGAAAUUAUGGCAACAGCUGGCAGAUGAACUGAAUUCUUGUAGAGGACGAAUACGAAGUGCUCCAAAAUGGAAAGAGGCGUUUGGAAAAGCCAACUUCGCACUCGUGCAAGGCAAAUAAAAAUGAGUCAACCGCUCACAGGUGGAGGUCCAAGCUUCAAGCCGAUUACCGAAUUUGAAGAAAAGGAUUUAUCCACAUUUGGUUCGGCUGCUGUGGAUGGUAUAAAAGAUGUCCAAAGCCUUGGUUUAACGCCAACAGAGCUGUUGACCGUUAAAUACGUAAAAUCAACAAAUGCAUCAACCACGGGUAGUCCUCUGCAAAUAUGCAGUCCCGUACCAACAACCCCAAAUUCCGAACAAACAGCAUUUAUAUCAGAACCAUCGACACCAUCUACAUACCCAUUCUUAGUUUGGAAAACCAGGAUGCUUCAACUUCGCUUUUAUCACGAAAUGCACGUAAAAAACUUAUCAGCACUUUGAUAGCUGAUACAUCCAAAAGGUAAUGCUGCUGAAGAGGAGAGGCGACGGGGACAUCGUAAAAUGGUGCAGGCCAUCCAAGGCCUAACUAAUUCCAUAACGGAAUUAAUAAAAUCUAAUAGUAAUAAUGUAAAAUAAUAAUAAUUUCUAAAGUUUGAUUAAAAUAAUAAUAACUUGUGUGCAAUAUUUUUAAAUUAAUAUU